ACCGUCUCCCCCAUGAUGCUGGUGGGAAACCACCACGACACGAGCACUCUUGCCGGAGAGGCACUCUCAAUCUCCGCUGAUGACUGCUUUCCCUGAUAGCUGAGGGAUCUGCCGGUGAGGUCCUGACAACUGUUCAAAAGGAGCAAAAAAGCAAGUGUUGAUCUAUUAUUUCCCUCAUAGAGCAUUGUAAGCACGAGCAGAUGUUCGCCAAGUGUGUGUUUUAAAAUACACUGUAAUUGCAAGCAAGUAACAGCGGUGAUGUAUACUUGUACAUACUUCUUCUGUGAUCUGAACAACAAAGCGAGCAACACCUCCUUAAAAAAUCUCCACACCUCUUAAAUCAGUAGGGGGAAAGGGUGUAAGCACCUAGGCGCUAGGGCAGAACAAAACGCAUUGCUUAAGCCUGCGCUUAGGCAAGAUAUGUGCUAGUCAGUGGGAAAAUCCAAAGUUAACAAUUAGAGGUUUUUCCCUGGUCCUAAAUAAAAAGACUCGAAAGCCAUGUAAAUUGUGUAAAGCAGAGCAAAGAAGUAGAAAAGCAGAACAUAACUUCAGAAGAAGAAACUGAAGUAAUGGACUAAGGUAUAUGUUUUAACCAAACACUAUCAUACUUUGGAAUAUUGUUCCUUAUUUCAAGUGUACAGAAGAACCAAGAGCAGCAUGAAUCACUUGCCCAUAGCAUAAAGUUUCUGCAUCAUAGCAUCAAGAAGCUGUAUCAUAGCAUCAAGAAGCACUUUCUGAUUAGUAAACUACAAUUUGGAAGGUUAAGUUGCUGCAUCAUAGUAUCAAGAAGCACUUUUUGUUGGGAUCUUAACUUUGUCCAUCACGACAGACUGAUUACACAAGAAAGACACUGUAAGCAAGUGUUGGAAGCUUCAUAGUGUAUGAUUUGAGACGUUUAUCCAUCUAUUAUUUUCCCGUGACAAAAAGAGUGUUGUUAAACAAUGGUAAUAGUAGAAUUUUGGAAGUCUGGCAAUUACAAUACAGUAAAUGCCUAUCCUGAAGUUAAAACUAAAUAAAACCAGGGUUUAUAAGUGUAUUUCACAGAUAAUUGUUCAUGUUGCUUGAAUCAUAAUUGAAUCGAUAAUAUGAUUUUCCAUGUCACAUUAUUAUGCUAACUGGGAUUGUAGUAGAAAAGGCAGGAUAACAGUACUAUACUCCACUCUUUUUCCUAUUGGGAAGAACCACCUCUCCUAUCCCAUUCUCUGAAUUUUCAUAUAGAUAACCUUCAAUUUUCUCUUUGUUCUUUCCAUUUUAUUUCAGUAGCUCCUUCAAUUCAUAUGAUUGGUUUUGUUUCAUCGAUGGACCCUAAGCGGUUAAUGCAUGAACUUGCUAAAAUGUUCAGAAUGACGCAGUUACUACAUCUAAUUCAAUAGUAGUGCUUCUGCAUUAGCGUACGUACCUAUGGUACGGAUGACUGUUUACAAACCUGAGUCAUAAUCAACAGUGCCGUUAAACAAUGGUGAUAGUAACUUAAUGUGCAGUUCACAUGUACAAAUUCGAACUCUUAUGUUUUAGCUAGGAUAUGUAUGCUAGUUAGGAAAUCUUAAAGGAGAGCUGGUAAAUAUCAAGAGGCAUAUGCAUACAACCGUAGAUGAUAAUUUUUCCGAGAAUAACAGGGCUUUCAGGUUGUUGUAGUUGAACAGGAUUCAUGCAUAUACUAUCUUGCAGGCAGCAAGAAAAUAGGGGAUCAACAUGUAUUUCCAUGCAUCAACAGAUUAUUCACAUGUCGAUUAAGAAGCACACGCAACAAGGAUCGAUAGGUUGACUAAAGAAGAUUAGUUCGCGAAAACAUACUGUGUCAUCGCUCAAGGCUUACCUGAAGGUGAGUGAGGUGGCCUGAUCUGGUGAGAAUCCACAAGAGGAGCUGAAGUGCUGCCGUGAUGCAUAGAUGGGAGAGAGCGGAUCUUGCGGGCGAGGGAGCAUAUACCUGAGACAGAGCCAG
rnacentral:lncRNA from 1 species